rnacentral:rRNA from 1 species
GACGAACGCUGGCGGCGUGCUUAACACAUGCAAGUCGAACGGAAAGGCCCUUCGGGGUACUCGAGUGGCGAACGGGUGAGUAACACGUGGGUGAUCUGCCCUGCACUUUGGGAUAAGCCUGGGAAACUGGGUCUAAUACCGAAUAUGAUCAUCGGCUUCAUGGGCGGUGGGGGAAAGCUUUUGCGGUGUGGGAUGGGCCCGCGGCCUAUCAGCUUGUUGGUGGGGUAAUGGCCUACCAAGGCGACGACGGGUAGCCGGCCUGAGAGGGUGACCGGCCACACUGGGACUGAGAUACGGCCCAGACUCCUACGGGAGGCAGCAGUGGGGAAUAUUGCACAAUGGGCGCAAGCCUGAUGCAGCGACGCCGCGUGAGGGAUGACGGCCUUCGGGUUGUAAACCUCUUUCAGCACAGACGAAGCGCAAGUGACGGUAUGUGCAGAAGAAGGACCGGCCAACUACGUGCCAGCAGCCGCGGUAACAC